UCAAGCUGGAAAGAGCGCAAGGGGAAUGCCUUGGCAUCAGGAGCCGAAGAAGGACGUGACAAGCUGCGAAAAGCCUCGGGGAGGAGCAAAUAUCCAUUGAUCCGGGGAUAUCCGAAUGGGGCAACCCGGCUGGACAAUAUCCAGUCAUCCUGCGUUGAACAAAAUAGGCGUAGGAAGGGAACCGCCUGAACUGAAACAUCUAAGUAGGGCGAGGAAGAGACAUCAACCGAGAUUCCGCAAGUAGUGGCGAGCGAACGCGGAAGAGGCCAAACCGAGGGAUUUAUUCCUCGGGGUUGCGGACAGUCAUUUAGCGGAAGUUAUCUAGGAGAAGGGUCUGGGAAGGCCCGCCACAGAGGGUGAGAGCCCCGUAUCCGAAAGAGAAGGCCGUGCGACUGAAUCCAGAGUACCGCGGGACACGUGAAACCCCGUGGGAAACAGGGGGGACCACCCUCCAAGCCUAAAUACUACCUGAUGACCGAUAGAGGAGCAGUACCGUGAGGGAAAGGUGAAAAGGACCCCGGGAGGGGAGUGAAAGAGAACCUGAAACCUUGUGCUUACAAGCUGUCAAAGCACGUUAACGUGUGAUGGCGUACUUUUUGUAGAACGGUCCGGCGAGUUAUAGUAACGAGCGAGCUUAAGGCAUUCAGUGCCGGAGGCGAAGCGAGAGCGAGUCUGAAUAGGGCGUAAAGUUCGUUGCCAUAGACCCGAAACCGGGUGACCUACCCAUGAGCAGGUUGAAGUGGGGGUGAAACCCCAUGGAGGACCGAACCGACCCCCGUUGCAAUGGUGGCGGAUGACUUGUGGGUAGCGGUGAAAUUCCAAUCGAACUCGGAGAUAGCUGGUUCUCCCCGAAAUAGCUUUAGGGCUAGCGUUAUGUUAGAUUACCGGAGGUAAAGCACUGAAUGGUAGCGGGGCCGAUAAGGUUACCAACGCCUAUCAAACUAAGAAUGCCGGCUAAUUGAUGCAUAGCAGUCAGACAGUGUGAGAUAAGUUUCAUUGUCAAAAGGGAAACAGCCCAGACCUACAGCUAAGGUCCCGAAUAGAUGCUAAGUGGAAAACGAUGUGGAGUUGCGAAAACAACCAGGAUGUUGGCUUAGAAGCAGCCACUCAUUAAAAGAGUGCGUAAUAGCUCACUGGUCGAGUGACUCUGCGCGGAAAAUAUAACGGGGCUAAGCGUAACACCGAAGCUUGGGCUGCACAGCAAUGUGCGGGGUAGGGGAGCGUCGAAUAUGGGGUGAAGUCGCAGCGGAAGCAGCGGUGGACUGUAUUCGAGUGAGAAUGCCGGAAUGAGUAGCGAGAAUUAUGUGGGAAUCAUAAUGGCCGAAAAUCUAAGGUUUCUUGGGGAAGGUUCGUCCGCCCAAGGUAAGCCGGGAGCUAAGGCGAGGCCGAAAGGCGUAGUCGAUGCACAUACGGUUGAAAUUCCGUAGCCACCGAACCUUAAGUACACUGACACAUGGAGAUAGCGGGACCCGGGCGUUGGUUGACCCGGGCGUAAGGGACCGAACUUUAGUAGGGAAGUCCGCGAUGCUCUGUGGCGAGAAAAGGUGUAUGGUAUGCUAAGGUGCCCGUACCGCAAACCGACACAGGUAGAUGAGGAGAGAAUCCUAAGGCCAACGGGAGAAGGGUUGUUAAGGAACUCGGCAAGUUGACCCCGUAACUUCGGAAUAAGGGGAGCCUCGCAAGAGGCCGCAGUGAAAAGGCCCAAGCAACUGUUUACCAAAAACACAGGUCUAUGCUAAAUCGAAAGAUGACGUAUAUGGGCUGACGCCUGCCCGGUGCCGGAAGGUUAAGAGGAGAUGUCAGCGCAAGCGAAGCAUUGAAUUGAAGCCCCGGUAAACGGCGGCCGUAACUAUAACGGUCCUAAGGUAGCGAAAUUCCUUGUCAGGUAAGUUCUGACCCGCACGAAAGGCGU
rnacentral:rRNA from 1 species